rnacentral:rRNA from 1 species
AGGACGAACGCUGGCGGCGUGCUUAACACAUGCAAGUCGAACGGUAAGGCCCCUUCGGGGGUACACGAGUGGCGAACGGGUGAGUAACACGUGGGUAAUCUGCCCUGCACUUCGGGAUAAGCCUGGGAAACUGGGUCUAAUACCGGAUAUGAACUCCUGCCGCAUGGUGGGGGUUGGAAAGUUUUUCGGUGCAGGAUGAGCCCGCGGCCUAUCAGCUUGUUGGUGGGGUAAUGGCCUACCAAGGCGACGACGGGUAGCCGGCCUGAGAGGGUGAGUCGGCCACACUGGGACUGAGACACGGCCCAGACUCCUACGGGAGGCAGCAGUGGGGAAUAUGGACAAUGGGCGAAGCCUGAUCCAGCAACGCGCGUGAGGGAUGACGGCCUCGGUUGUAAACCGUCUUCAGCACAGACGUAAGUUUGUCUUUUUGGUGUAAGUGACGUAUGUGCAAGAAGAAGGACCGGCAACGUACGUGCC